UACGUAGGGUGCAAGCGUUGUCCGGAUUUAUUGGGCGUAAAGAGCUCGUAGGCGGUUUGUCGCGUCUGCUGUGAAAACCCGAGGCUCAACUUCGGGCCUGCAGUGGGUACGGGCAGACUAGAGUGCGGUAGGGGAGAUUGGAAUUCCUGGUGUAGCGGUGGAAUGCGCAGAUAUCAGGAGGAACACCAAUGGCGAAGGCAGAUCUCUGGGCCGUAACUGACGCUGAGGAGCGAAAGCAUGGGGAGCGAACAGG
rnacentral:rRNA from 1 species